CUUGUUUCUUCAGCCUGUUUCACUGCAACAGUGAAAAUUUUCGUGGUAUUUCAUCUGGAACUACCAGGCUUUAUUAGGUUUAGGCACAUCAAAUUUGCUAAGAUGUGAGCUGAUACUUUGGGGUGCAUAAACAUUUCAGAACCUUAUGGAACCAAAACCAACAGAUGGACCGGAUGCCCAGCCCCUGCUUCGGCAUGUCCAGAUUGAGGACUCACUACCUGAGUGGUUGUUUGGCCCAUGGCGAGAAGCUGUAUUGUGGGAAGAUGAAUACAUGGCACCCAGUUUGGAGAUAGAAAAUGGAAACUCAGCUUCCCUCCUUUCUGUUCUCUUCACCUCUAUGUUCCUAAACCCAGCCUCAUCCUGAACCCCAGUCUCAGCAAUUUAAGGAGCUCUAAAGUGAUUAAUAUUAUCUGUGGAACUGUUUACAAUCACCUUGGCAGGAAUGCUGGACUCAGUGACUCAUUUUUAACAGAAUAUGACAAAAAUGAUGGGUGUCAUUUCUGAAGACAGGUUGCAAAAAAUUUUUGGCUUCUGUCUUGCUCUCUUGCCUUACUGUGAUGCGACCCAGAUGUCAAGUUGUGAGCUGCCCUGUGGAGGGGAUGGAAGGACAAUGAACUGAGAGAGAGGCCGCCAGCCCACAGCCAGGAAGGAACUCGGGCCCUCAGCACACCGGUCUGCAGAGAACCUGUGAAUGAGCUGAAAGCAGCCUUCAGAUGACACCAUAGCCCUAGCUAACCUAAAUUGCUGCCUUGUGAGAAAUCUCAAGCCAGAGCACCCACUUAAGGCUUACUUGGAUUCCUAAAAAAUAUUUUUUUUUAUUAUUUUGAAUGCUAUGAACAUUCUUGAACACUCUUAUAUUUUGGUAAAUAUAUGUACAUAUUUCUGUCGGAAAUACACCUAGUAGUUGAAUCAGAGAGUCACAGCAUGUAUUCAGAUUUAGUAGAUAGUGCCAAGUAGUGUUUCAAAGUCUACACUCUCGCCAGCAGCACCCCAGACCAAUCUCUAUUUUUGGCAGGACUUUGCUGCUUCUCAAUUCAGCACAGGAAUGGGUGUGCCGUGGGGUUUAAACAGCAUGUUUUAUUAGUAAUAACACUAAUGAAAAAAUAAUAACAGUGAAGGUAACCUUUUGAAUACCUAAUUAUCUAAUGUAUUAAUUUUUGAAAAGCAAUACACAGCCAGGACUUCAUCAUGUGUUAUUAUUUUACAUGUAUGGAGCACUAACAGAACAAAACAUUAGCACUAGUUAAAAUACAUAGAUACCACAGCUGUGCUUAAAUUUUUAAGAUUUUUAAGGAGAUAACCAGGAUUUUUUUUAAAGGUUUUAUUUAUUUAUUCAUGAGAGACACAGAGAGGCAGAGACAUGGGCAGAAGGAGAAGCAGGCUCCUCACAGGGAGCCUGAUGCAAGACUCGAUCCUCAGACCUGGGAUCAUGCCCUGAGCUGAAGGCAGAUGCUCAACCACUGAGCCACCCAGGCAUCCCAGGAGAUAACCAGGAUUAAAGAAAACACAUUGUGCAAGUAGAACACUUUUAUAUCAUGUUUUCAAUAUUUAGGUUAUUUAGGUGAACCCAGGCCCUUUUUUUUUAGCUUAAAAUUUCCCAGGUAAUAACUGUCACUUUCUGCUUAUCAUUACUAGUGAAGAUAUCAUGAAAGCCUAUUUUUUUUCAUC